UGAAAACGUUGACCUUGUAGUAGUAUAAAUCUUUCGCCUUUUACUAAAGAUUUCCUUGGAGAGGAACGUUUAUUUGUCAGUUGCACUGUAGUUUUUGGAAUAUAACUAAUUUCCUUGUUGU